AGAACUGCAUUGAGCCGUUUGCAGACCUCCCUCUGAAUGGAAUAAAGCAAAUGUGAAUGCCACCCAUAACCAGGGCUGGUUUUAGGAAAGGGACACCGGACGCAGCAGAGAAUUUGAUCAUCGAAGCCUGCUCGAACAACAUCUUCAGGUCAAAACGAGAUAUCAAUCGUGGCUGACAGCACAUCUCGCUGUAACAUCGAGUCAAUCUGUUGCCCAACUCUCCUCAGCACCUAAUGCCCUCGAAAGUGUUUAUUAUAGGAUUGCAGACACAAAGGAAGAAUUCAAUUGUGUGACAUUUCUUACAAUGGGAGACUAUUGUUCAGUGAUAAAGCCAAAUUAAAUUCAAUUAUUUGUAAAUUUUCAUAUCAAUUUCAAUCAUUCUGAGGUCUCCUUCCCUUCUCCCAAACUUGUGCCAUUAUUGAUAUUUUGCAAUUUUUCAUUCAUUCUUUGCAAUGGUGCGACGUACACACAGGUUUGGUUGUAAAGUGAUUUGAAAAUUUGCUGCGCGUGCAAACUUCAGAGCUCUGGAAUUCUCUGCACAUCAAUAAACCAUCAAGCUCCCCUUCCUCCAACACAAAACUCCUACAGCAUCAACAAACGCAUCAAAUUUAGUGAGGUUUUGGCUGAGUUUAUCUGAAGGUGCAGCAGAAUAUUAUGAUGAAUUAGCAAUGUCAUGGCUGAGGAGUUCAAUUUGUUGUACUGUAAUGUUUACUGUAGUGUGCGAUUAAUCAAACCCCUCUCCCUUUCGAGCACCUCUCUGCCCUGAUUGAGAUCUAAGUGCUCACCUCAGUGACGGAUGUCAAUUGUUGUGAAAUGAAAAGCUUUCCAGUUUGAGUGUCCCGGGAUCAAGCAUGAUGCAAAAACGUCACAGAAAAACUCCUGCUCUACCUCAGAAACACAGUCCGUGGCACUAAUUUUACCCUUUCCAAGAUAGGAGAUGGUGGUGCCAAUGGGCACGGGGAAUGCAGUUUGGGUUAAGCCUGAUGUUUUGUUAUCUCCAUCCAUUCCCAUUAUGCGCUUGUCCGGAUUUAUGUGGAGUUAGGUUUUAGAUGACCAAGUCUGUUUUGUUAUUGCACAAAUUCAAAGACCAGGCAGGCAAUGUGCCUUUAAGAUGCUGUGUCAUGUCAUGUUCCAGUACCCACCUUGCCUUUAGCCACCCUCUCUGCACUAUUGAGUCAGUGCAGUGUGUUCAGUCAGUUCAGUCAAAAUUUGAUACAGAGCCCAGAGUAAGUCUGUAAUAUUGUAGCAAUGUUAAUAAACUUAUAGACAUCUAUCUUAACAAGAAUCUGAUCUUCGUGGUUUAUGUCUCAUGACCUAACAUAUAAGCCAACAUUCAACCCAUCUUGUGUCUGUGGUGUCUGUCUUAAGAAACCAUGUCACGGGGUUUUCAUAUUGGGGGCUUGAUAUUCCGAUAUGUUUCUCUGUUCCUUUCACAUCUGCUAGCUAUCAAAUUAUUAUCACCACUUGGUUAUUGCUGCAUCAUGGCGUUAAUAAUUGGAGCCAGUUCCAGCGUUUUGUCGAUCAUAAUCAGAGAAUGGUUGCAAUAAAGGAGAAAGCUUUUCAACCCAUCGUAUCCCUGCCAGCUCUCUGCAACUUCAACUCACCUGGUCCCCGCUUGGCCGCCUUUCCUCCAUUGUCCUGCAAAUUUAUUCUUUUCAGAAUCUGAGUGAAACUGAAUCUCUUUUGAGAUUUAUGUUCGGACUUGCUUCUACUUCAUUCUCAGGUAGAGCAUUCUACAUGCUAACCAUUUGUUGUGUGAAACUAGGUUUUCCUCAGUCACCAUUGCUUCC